AACGAACGCUGGCGGCGUGCCUAACACAUGCAAGUCGCGCGCGAAUGGAGCAAUCCUAGUAGAGCGGCGAACGGGUGCGUAACACGUGGGUAAUCUGCCCAAGAGCCCGGAAUAACCUGCCGAAAGGCAAGCUAAUACCGGAUAAGCUCACGAGGUCUUCGGGCCUCGAGAGAAAAGGUGGCCUCUGUAUACAAGCUACUGCUUUCGGAUGAGCCCGCGGCCCAUCAGCUUGUUGGCGGGGUAAUGGCCCACCAAGGCUACGACGGGUAGCUGGUCUGAGAGGACGAUCAGCCACACUGGAACUGAGACACGGUCCAGACUCCUACGGGAGGCAGCAGUGGGGAAUUUUGCGCAAUGGGCGAAAGCCUGACGCAGCAACGCCGCGUGUGUGAUGAAGGCCUUCGGGUUGUAAAGCACUUUCAGCGAGGAGGAAGGGUGGUGUGUUAAUAGCACAUCAUUUUGACGUUACUCGCAGAAGAAGCACCGGCUAACUCUGUGCCAGCAGCCGCGGUAAAAC
rnacentral:rRNA from 1 species